CCCUUAGAUGUUCUGGGCUGCACGCGCGCUACACUGAAGCGUUCAACGAGUAUUUCACCUUGCCCGGGAGGGUUGGGUAAUCUUUUUAAAACGCUUCGUGAUGGGGAUAGAUUAUUGCAAUUAUUAAUCUUCAACGAGGAAUUCCUAGUAAGCGCGAGUCAUCAGCUCGUGCUGAUUACGUCCCUGCCCUUUGUACACACCGCCCGUCGCUACUACCGAUUGAAUGGCUUAGUGAGGCCCUCGGAUUGAGCCAAGGCUCCUUCACGGGAGCUCUGGAUUGAGAAGUUGGUCAAACUUGGUCAUUUAGAGGAAGUAAAAGUCGUAACA
rnacentral:rRNA from 1 species